GACGAACCACACGAACGUUAUUCGGAAUUACUGGGCUUAAAGGGUGCGUAGGCGGCGCAGCAAGUUGGGUGUGAAAUCCCUCGGCUCAACCGAGGAACUGCGCCCAAAACUACUGUGCUUGAGGAAGAUAGAGGUAAGCGGAACUUACGGUGGAGCGGUGAAAUGCGUUGAUAUCGUAAGGAACACCUGUGGCGAAAGCGGCUUACUGGGUCUUUUCUGACGCUGAUGCACGAAAGCCAGGGGAGCAAACGGG
rnacentral:rRNA from 1 species